rnacentral:rRNA from 1 species
GACUACUCGGGUAUCUAAGCCUGUUUGAUCCCCACGCUUUCGCGCUGCAGCGUCAGAAACUGGCCAGUGAGCCGCCUUCGCCACUGGUGUUCUUCCCAAUAUCUACGAAUUUCACCUCUACACUGGGAAUUCCACUCACCUCUCCAGUCCUCAAAGCCUCGCAGUCCCAAAGGCAAUUCCUAAGUUGAGCUCAGGCAUUUCACCUCUGGCUUGCAAAACCGCCUACGCGCGCUUUACGCCCAGUAAUUCCGAACAACGCUAGCCCCCUUCGUAUUACCGCGGCUGCUGGCACGAAGUUAGCCGGGGCUUCUUCUCUCGUUACCGUCAUCAUCGUCACGAGCGAAAGAACUUUACAAUCCUAAGACCUUCAUCAUUCACGCGGCAUGGCUGCGUCAGGCUUUCGCCCAUUGCGCAAGAUUCCCCACUGCAGCCUCCCGUAGG